rnacentral:lncRNA from 1 species
UUGAUACCUACUCCUGAUUUAUGAUAUAAAUAAUUUUCUCAGAACUUCAGAGCACAGAGAGGUCCCUGUGGGGGUGACAAAAUGCACCUACCUCACAGCUCAAUCUCUUAAUUUGGUUUCCAGGUGCUACUGUCACUCACGAUGUCCAUAACAAGAAGAUGGAAAAUAAUCCGACCCCACCUGAGGGCUUCUUGCCAAAAUCUGCUGCACCAGGGGUGAUGAAUAUGUCAGGAGCUGGUAUUCCACCCAACCAAAUGGGUUCUCCCUGUGACGACUUCACUAAAGAUGACCUGAUUCAUAAACCUGGUAGUAAUUCACUUGGAGGAGGAACCAAAAGCCACAGUGUCUCUGCAGAAUAUGAAAGAGUUUUCACUUUGAAGAAGUGCAAUGACCUCUUGCAGUCAAGAAACAGUUUGUUGAAUAUACCAUCAAGGAAGCUGAAAGUUUAAAAGAGGAGUCUUAAUUCAGCAACUUGAGAAGGUCCUAGAAAAAAUAGAAUCCUGCCACCAUCUCAAGAAAGUUAAUGAUCAGAAAAGUAAAUAAUUGUUCUUGUAAAGACCACUGAGAAGCAAGGAUGAAUUUUCUGUGCUGUAUGCUGCAAUGAGAUACUUCUGAAGCCUUCCUAAAAUUUAGUCAAGAAAAUUAUAGUCAAGAAAAGGAUAAGCAAAAAGGCAGUGGAGCCUUUUAGUUUUAUGGUUCUUUGUCAGUAAAAGAUGGGCUAUAUAUAGCCCUAAGAGUUUCCUAUGAAAGUAAUUUGUUGUUUCUUUAUUUUUUUGUUGUCU